UGGACUUCGCUUUUCAGCAUCUAGCCAAACACAGGAUCAGGUUCCCUGACCUCUACUGUGACUGCUUCCUAGCCAGAGACUUGGCUCAGUGCAAGCAGGAGCAAGUCCAAACUCUCUUGAUGCAGAAAUAGCAGUGCUACAGCUACUGCAGGCUGAUUAAGACAAGAAGAGGAAAACAUGAACAAUCCAGUUAAUUGAUCUUUUGCAAACAUGAUCGGUGAAAUGAUGCAUUCUGAUGACGGCAAGAGCAACUUAACCAUUAACUUCAGAGAAGAAAACAUUUUAUCCAGUGCCUAUGAUGUCAGGUCAUGUGAAAGUUUCAUGAUAAAAUAA
rnacentral:lncRNA from 1 species